UGUGCUCUAGCUAACUGGAAUCACGAAUGUGUCAUCUGUGAUAACGUAAAGGAAAAAUAAUGAUGCUACUUUACUAUUAGUGUUGUCAAAGUCUGGUGCCAGAAGACUCGGUAAGGCCAGAGACGCUAGCGUUAAUCAUCUUGAUCAGGCGUAAAGGGUUUGUAGGCGGCUUUAAUAUAUUAUAAAAUCUAUAAUCAGAUAGAGGUCACCGUGAGAGAACACUUGGAGUAGGGUUGAUAUCUGUAGAUACCAAUGUGGAAUUCUAAUUAGCGAACGCUCUUAUCCAAAUAAUGAUUGACGCUGAUAAACGAAGGUGAGGAACGAUAAUAGGAUUAGAUACCCUGGCAUCCCUCUCUGUAAACGAUGAAUGGUAGUUGCUAAUUCUAAUGAGCUAGUGGCGAGGUUAACACAUUAACCAUUCCGCCUUGUGAGUA
rnacentral:rRNA from 1 species